CUACGGGUGGCACCAGUGGGGAAUAUUGCACAAUGGGCGCAAGCCUGAUGCAGCCAUGCCGCGUGUAUGAAGAAGGCCUUCGGGUUGUAAAGUACUUUCAGCGGGGAGGAAGGGAGUAAAGUUAAUACCUUUGCUCAUUGACGUUACCCGCAGAAGAGGCACCGGCUAACUCCGUGCCAGCAGCCGCGGUAAUACGGAGGGUGCAAGCGGUAAUCGGAAUUACUGGGCGUAAAGCGCACGCAGGCGGUUUGUUAAGUCAGAUGUGAAAUCCCCGGGCUCAACCUGGGAACUGCAUCUGAUACUGGCAAGCUUGAGUCUCGUAGAGGGGGGUAGAAUUCCAGGUGUAGCGGUGACAUGCGUAGAGAUCUGGAGGAAUACCGGUGGCGAAGGCGGCCCCCUGGACGAAGACUGACGCUCAGGUGCGAAAGCGUGGGGAGCAAACAGGAUUAGAUACCCGGGUAGUC
rnacentral:rRNA from 1 species